UACGUAGGGGGCAAGCGUUGUCCGGAUUUACUGGGCGUAAAGCGCGUGUAGGCGGCCUGGCAGGUCUGCUGUGAAAACUGGAGGCUCAACUUCCAGACGUCGACAGAAACCGCUUGGCUAGAGUCCGGAAGAGGAGAGUGGAAUUCCUGGUGUAGCGGUGAAAUGCGCAGAUAUCAGGAAGAACACCGAUGGCGAAGGCAGCUCUCUGGGACGGUACUGACGCUGAGACGCGAAAGCGUGGGGAGCGAACAGG
rnacentral:rRNA from 1 species